GCAAAGUUACAUUCUGUUUGCUUUCAUAAAACCUUCCGUUUUGUCCUCUUGACAGGCCACCUUCUUUGGGAGACUAAUAGCUGAGCUACUGGAAAUUGAUGCCAAUGCAAGGUAAAGAAAGAAUUUGUCAUACUGCGUGUGCUGCUGGUCUCUGAAUAGUACUUCUGUCCAUCUGCAUGCCUGAAGAUGCAAAGAAAACAGGCAACAAAAGAUCUUGCAAGCAGUAUGCUGACAUUUCAAUAUUCCUUCAGCUCACCAGUUCAGGCUACAGUCACAGCAAGAAAAGCAACUUGUGUAACCAUGAAUAGCCUGAGAUUCAUUUCACUGGAUUUCCCAAGAAUUUAAUUUUAAAUUGAAAGACCAUCAAACUUUUACUGAUGUGGAAUUGAAUGCUAUAGAGCUCCCUCAAAAAGCUUCAGGCAUUUAAACAGCAUCAAAAGAAAGAAGUUCACAGUAGAUAUAAAAGAUUUCCAUAAAACAGAUCCUGUACUGAUAAAGUUACUUUGAGAUGAGCAUUUAGGAGAUUUUGACCGUGAAGGCAACUUAGUCAGCCAAUGGGAACAAGAAGAAAAAGUGUGGAAAGA